rnacentral:lncRNA from 1 species
AUGGUGUCUCCCAGUGAAUCAGGGGCUCCACCAGUUCCUAACCAGUCCUGUUGUAAACCAUAUCACCGCCCCUGUCAACCCUCCCAUGACAACACCUCCAAAACCACCUGUCAGAACCCCCAUCAACAACCCUGUCACUAUGGCGACGAAGAGCUCCAAUCUGUCACCGACGAUUCUCUGCCUGUCCUCCUUCCUCCACUGGUAUCUGUAGCUCUGACCAGUUCAUUUUUGUAGCAUGCCUCGAUUUGGCUUUGGACUUUAUCUCCCAUGAUCCUUCGCUGAUACUCCUCUGGCUUCUCCCUAGAGAGACUGGCUGAUGAGGUGGGAAAUGUAGUCAUUGGACUUUGUUCUGUUAUGUAACAUUCUCCACAUUAGAGUCAGACCUGAGCAAGGCACUGGUACAUAGACACACUAUCUACUAAUCACUGGUAUAUAGAGACACUAUCUACUAAUCACUGGUACAUAGAUACACUAUCUACUAAUCACUGGUACAUAGACACACUAACUACUAAUAAUUGGUACAUAUAUACACUAUAUACUAAUAACUGGUACAUAUACACACUAUAUACUAAUCACAGGUACAUAUAUACACUAUCUACUAAUCACCGGUACAUAGAGAAACUAUCUACUAAUCACUGGUACAUAGACACACUAUCUACUAAUCACUGGUACAUAGAGACACUAUCUACUAAUCACUGGUACAUAGAGACACUAUCUACUAAUCACUGUCAAUUCCAAACAACUACCCAUUAUCAUGUGAUCAUUACUCGUUAAGACCAGAAUCUAUACAGCAGUUUAAUGUUUCAUGGGUUAUUUAAGCAACCAGACAGAUGUUAUUGCAGGUGUUCCUCACUCCAACAGCGCUGUAAUAUCUAACAAUUCACAACAAUACACACAAAUAUAAAAGUAAAACAAUAAAAUUAAGAAAUAUAGAAAUAUAUUUCUGAAUGUGUAUUUUAAUGAUAUAAUCAACCAAGAAAGUGUUGGCUACUACAGUUAUUGAAAUAAACAGGAAAGCACAGGCGAGUGUCAACAUGCGCUACAAUGGGAUAUUUUAGGAUUUAUCAAUGUUUAGUUUAACGAAGUCAGGAAAUGAAGAAUAGCUCAGAACUUACUCCGACUCACUUCCAUCUCAACUCAUCCGGGGUCAAGGAGACUCUCACGACACGUGAUGUUAUCACACCCCACUGAGGAAGUUAUGAAUCAAAUAUUGCUGAAAGAGCGAAUCACAAAUGGUCAGGUGAACCGUCACAUGUAGACUACAAGUCUAAGGACCAAAAGGCUCCUUAACAGCUUCUACCCCCGAGCCAUAAG